rnacentral:tRNA from 1 species
GCCGGGGUGGUGAAAUUGGUAGACGCAGCGGACUCAAAAUCCGCCGGGCUUUAGAGCUCAUGCCGGUUCGACUCCGGCCCUCGGCA